rnacentral:lncRNA from 1 species
GUCCACGCCUGGGUUUCAAACCUGUGAACCCCGGGCCACCAAAGUGGAACAUGCGAGUCUAACCACUGCACCACUGGGCUGGCUCCUGAUUGUCACUUUUUAAAACUCUUAUGAACAGAGCUGGGGAACCAUCAGGAAAAGGUGGUAAGUGGAGUAAGGGAUGGUUUAAUCAUUCAGAAAGAUAACUGCCGGCAAAUUUCAGAUUUCAGAGAAAGCUGGAAGGGCUGACAUAAAGACAUGGAAGGCUUCUCUGGAGAAGUUCGCUGAAGUCUUGGAAGAUGAAGGCUACUGUUUAAGACGGGUGUUUCAUGUUUUUGAAAAGGGAGCAGGAGAUCACUGGUCCUCGGAGCAAUGAAGAUGGCUGAUUCUGAUGACUAAGAAACUUACCAGGAGAAGAAAGCAUUUUCAGUUCACAUUUCACUGGACUCAUGUUUUCAGGAACCAAACCCUUAGCCUAUGCUCACUUCCACCCCCAGAUAUUUUCAAAUAUAGAUUUAUAUUAUGUGUUUGGUUUUAUAUAUUAAAUAUAUGUUUAUCAAAGACUGUAUCCAAAGUGAGGGGAUUUUCUUUUCAUGAUUAUUUGCAUUUUAAUUACAUGAAAUGGAUUUUCAGGAACAAAACUCCAAUUCAAGAGUCAACUAUGGAACUCUCUUACCUGUCAUCCAGAAACUUUAUUAUAAAUCAUUCGUCAACAAUAUCUGUGUUUCUAAUUCUAGUUUAUCGUUUCUUCUGAGGCACAGAGAAAUGAAAUGAAGAGAUGGGGUUCAGAGUUAUUGAACACUAUGCCUAGAGGAUCUUAUUCAGUCUUUAUGAACACCACUGCCCAGUAGGUAUUAUCAACUAUACUUGUUUAGGUGAGGACUCUGAGGCUCCAGGAGCUUGAGUGAUGGGCCCAGGGUUAUUAAAGUUAGUAAUUGGCAGAACUGAGACUUAAGUGCAAGCUUAUUUUCAUAUGCUGUUAUUGCCAAUAAUCUAUCCUACAAGAAGAUAAAAAUAUGGCAUUAAAUUAUUAAUUUUAAAGUAACCAUUGUGACAUUUACUUCUUUUUAUCCCAAAAUAUGCCUCGCUCAGUGGUGGGCACACAGUAGUGUCCAACAGCGGUAGGUCAAGAAACGGACACAGGAUGCUAUUUGGAACUGAGCACCCAGGCUCCGGAUCCGAAACCCGGGCUCAGUUCCUGGAUUCACCGUUAUCCGAAUAUGUACCCUGUGGCAAGUCAGUUUCCUCGUAUGGUAAAAUGGGGAUAAGAAUAUCCAUCUUUUAGGGUGGAUGUGAGGAUUAAUUGGGUUGAUGCUAGUAAGUCACUUAG